UCUGUGGGGAAUGCAGCCUGGUUCGAGGGCGUUUUACAGGAUCUUAUAGAACUUGUCUCGGACCAGGCUUCAUUCCCCUCAAU
rfam:Picea glauca, whole genome shotgun sequence.